CGCUAAUUCGUCGUAACACUGCUUUUACGACGAAGUAACGAGGAAAACUGCCCUCGUAAAACUUGUGUUUUCUUGUAGUGUUCAUAUAAAAUUGUGUAAUAACACAUGUACGUAAACAUGAAUAAGGUGUGCCAAUGUGCAAUACAUAAGACUCACGUUCUUUGUAAAAAAAUAAAAGAGCAUAGGAUUCACGUUAAAACACUAAGAUAUAUUAUAGGGCAAUCUUUCAAUAGUUUCUUUUAGUUUUUGUCGCAAAAAUAGUCAUCAAAGAAAAAAUUAACCAAAAUUGUUCUUUUUAUUUUGAAAGUUUUAUUUUUUUAAAAAAAAUUUGAACUCCAUCAUCAAAACCCCAUCAUUUAACUUUAACUCUAAUUCUAGAUUAGUUAAUCCUAGGGUAUAAAUGUAUAUUUACACUUUAAUAAAACAUUUUUUUGGCCAUUUUCCUUAUUAACUGAUCCCCUCAUAAAGCCCUCCUUAAUCACUCACACACGAUCUCCAUUCGAUGCGACCCUGGAGAGUGCAAGGCGGUGGAAGUCUACUAUAAAAAGAUAUGAAUUCAUGCUUUCAAAAUCAUCCUUCGUUCUAAACUAAUCAUUAUACAAAAGGUUUGAGUCAUGGCUAACGAUUUGGUUAUCCUCUCCGAUCUACAGACUGGCCACUCUUCCUCCUCCGUUCAAGUUCGCCUGCUCCGAUUUUGGGAGGCCAGGAACGUCCGGCGUGGUGGAGAGCUUAUGUCCUAAUGAGUUGAGCAGCCGGCAAAUAAAACUCAAAGAGAGAAGAGAGAGGUUCAAGUUGUGCUCCGUGGACAAGGACUAGGAGGUUUCUGAUCCGAAUCCUCACAACUCCAUUGUAAGGUCUCUCAACCACAAUUGUACAGGUUCUGCUGAGUACACAAGUCUAAGAUAUCUUGAGAGCUCAUCAGCGGAAUCAAGUUCGGAUCUAGAAAGACGAGACAGAAACAUUCAAGACCUGAAACAAGAGCAGGAGCAACCAAGUCCUGUCUAUUUUCUAGAGAGGAUACGUCUAGAAGAAGAAACAGUAGAAGAGAAGAUUAGGGCCCUGUUCGGUACAGUGACGCUGCGAUCACUUCCGGCGAUCAAAAAUUAGUCAUCGAAGCUGCGAUCAACUUUUAUAAGGAUUUCGGGUGGCUAUUCUGACAGCUGUGUAAAGUAGCGUCACUUAAAAUGGUGAAGCAACUGCUUCUGGGCGUCAAAAGUACCGCUGUCCGUGGUAGUCUCCACAUACUUGGACAAGAAGUUACUUAUAUUUUUGAUUGCAAGUCGCUGACGCAGCGUCUCUGAAAAGAACAGGGCCUAGAUUGCUAGGUUUUGAUGAUUCAGGCAUGAAUCUUCUAGAAAAGGACUCAGUUCACAAGUUUGUGAAGAAAGUUCUUGAAGUUUUAAGACUGAACUGGACUAAUCUCAUGGCAAGAUGCAUCAAAGAAACAUCACUACUCGACGAAUUCUCACACGAAGCUUCUUCUGGUUCUUGAUCACACGGACGAGAUUCUCUAAGAGAUUUGCCGUCAAGACAUCAUCAAGUUUUGGCCUUUUUUUAGAGUUAUCAUCAAUCUACCAUCUUCUUCCUUUAGAGAAGACCUGAUUGACGAGAAGCUGAGACGUUUCGACUGGGGUUUACUCUGCUGUGAAACUCCAAAAACGUUGGAUCAGAUCAUUGAGACUGAUGUGGUAAAGCCAUCAUGUCUUUGGUCGGGUUUUGGUGGUGAAGCUGAAGGUGUUUAUCUGUACCAGAAGAGUAACUGAAAUAAAGGUGGAGAAGGGAUGGUGCAAUGUUUCCUGCUCAAACUGGGCCAAGCAACUUUAGUGCACAGUAUCAUCUUUCACAUGUCUUCCUUGCAACAUACCAGUGCAGUUGGUUUCCUCCGGUACGGUGUGGAGAUGUCCGUUGCAGAUGAAACUGGUAAAGCUUUGUUUGUCUGUUUCGAUCAGGUAAUGACCAAACAUCACAACAUGAGGGCCUUUGAAGCUGACCAUCUUUUGGCUGGUGAUGGUGUCAACCCAGAGGAAACACAGGCCCCACCAUUUGUGUGAGACAUGGUUGGUAAGACCUACACAUUCCAGGUGAGGGUGAGUGCACUUAAAUUCACAGCAAAUCAUCAGACCUUUACUGUCUCGCGCAUCCUCAGUGAGCGUGACCGUGUGCUGCAGCCUGCAUUUGUUGAUAAUCUAAGGUUUAUGGAAUGGAGGCGACGUUUACAAUGGAGAUGACAACCCCGAUGCCAUCACAGUGCCUUCUAAGGUUGAAACUGGUGGACCUAGCCAGGCGCAAGUAGCAUCGGAGAAGGUGAAGAAAGCACGCAAGGCAUAGGUGAAGAGGAUUGGAGUACAAGACGCAGUUUUUCCUGUGUGUUUUUUAAUGCUGAAGUCGUUUAUGUUGUUUUUUUUUUCCUUUUCUGGUGUUUGCUUUAUUAACAAGUUUGACUUUUACACUUUCCUACUUCUAUAGUUUUGGUUUUCUUGAUACCAAAUAUAAAAUAUAUCUCAUUUAGGAAAUAUUUGGUAUUAUAUGGUUUUUUUUAAUUCAAGUUAGUAUUCUCUAUAUUCUGUCAUGAUUGUAAAUAUGAUCAUGUUUAACGUAGGCAAUCAUCCGCAUAUUUUGAGUCCAAUUUGACAACGACAACAUAUACUAAACAUGCGAUGGGUCCAUUCAUAUUCGAUAUUUCCCUUCAUUUGCAUUUUAUUCAACAAAUACUAAAUAUAAAUAUAAUGCUCACACAGUACCUGCGGCUCCAUAAUAGUUAAGAAGCUAAACACAUGACCCGUAUACAUUAUAUUUAUAGUAUACAUAUAUUUUUAGCUUAGCAUUGAACUGGUUUACUUGGUACGCUAUCUCUGAUCCUGUAUGUUCUCAAGUACUGACUUUAUCACUCUCUUCGCCGGAAAAGGAGCAAAUGUGUUCUUCAACAAUUAUAGGCUUCGACGACGGUAUCGUUCACCAGUGUUUUAAGUGUCAUAUUUUGAAAGACUGGACUCCUUCUUCUCUUAUUGUCUUACAUUUGCUACUUUUAUGAAAACCUUUUUCUUAACGCUUAAACAUUGUUUUAAAUUUAAGGUUUCAUAUAAAGAGUCUGUGACACAUAUUAUAUAUAUAUAUAUAUAUAUAUAUAUAUAUAUAUAUAUAUAUAUAUAUAUACUAUGUUUUAAAGAUCCAAGAUAUCCACAAAUAUAUAAUAGAAUUAUAUGCAUACUACAAAGACACCAGAAAGAAAGAGCCAGCAUAAAUUAAAAAAAAAACCCAUGUUUAAUUAAAUAAACUAUUAUGUGUACUUGAAAUAUUCUUUCAUGAAUAUUAUAGCAAGAAAGGUAGAAAAAAAUUAUAACUAACAUUCAGUAAGAGAAUAUUAACUUUAUCGUACAUAUUUAUGUAUAAAUCAAAUUACUCUUUAAUAUAAAAAAUAUAGUUUAAUUAGUCAAACUUCUCAAUUAUUGUACUGUAAAACUUUCAAUGGUUGAUUAGAAAGAGUAAUUUAACUAUAACUAACAAAUCCCUAUAAGGAAAGUUAUAUAUAUAGUUAGAUAUAUGCAAUGAGCAUAAGAAUUUUAAGUCCCCUAAUGAAAUAUAAAACAAAAAGUAGAAAAAUAUAGAAAAAUAAUUAGUAGACCAAUUAAGAUAAUAGUAAUAAAAAACUUUAAAAGUAAAUUAUUAAACCAUAAUAUUAUUAAAUAAGUAAAUAUUAAAUCAGAUGUUUGUCGACGGAAAUGUCAAAGUAUGUUUUGUUUAUUUUCCUAAAAUUGGACUGUAGGCAAAAAAAAAAACAAAUAUCAAUAAAAUUGUAUUAUGUAUAUUAUUAAACCCGUUAAACAUACUACUAUAUUAUAUAAUAAAAGCAGCAUCUUUGGUUCGCUUGGUUUGUUCAGUUAAUAAACCAUACUAUAUCCAUAAACCGUGAUUUUUUAAAUAUAAUAUCAAUUCACUAUAAUCAUUAUUACCAAAUCUAAACCAUGUUUACUGGAUCCGCAUGAACACAAAAUGCUCUACAUUUUGAGACACAAUAUUUUAGUCAAAAUGAUUCUCAUUUUUGCGUACUGUGCUUAGAUUGUCCAAAAUAAUACAUUUGUUGCGUUUUUUUCGUUUCUCUUUAUUUAUUAUUAAACUUAUAACCACGAUCAAUUGCAUUAUAUAUAAGUAAAUAUAACUAAAAAUAGCACAAAAAGCCAAACAAGUAACAAAAAUUGAUAAUAAUAUCAGUUACUAACAUUCACCAAAACAUUUAUACUAACUUACCACACUAUAAAUUCUUUCAAUUCAAAAUUAAAAAUCCAACAAUACUAAGUACUCGGUCAUCAUUAGUUAGUUAUAUAAUUCAAAUUUGGUGUUCACAAUAAUCAUACUCACACCAAAUUUAACAUAAAAAGAAAUUUACACAAAGUAACAUUUUUUAUAAAAAUCAACCCAUCAAAUCCCGCCUGUAAGGCGGGUCUACCCUAGUAUUUGAUAUAGGAUUCGAUUGGUAAUGGCUGUAGAUUUAAAAAAUUUGCUGUAGAAAUAAAUCUGUAGAAUUUUUGAUGUGGCUUUAGAUUUUGUUGUUUUAGAAUUUUAAAGAAAGCUCCAAAAAAUUACGCUGGAUUUUUGGCUAUGUAGACAGUUGUAUGUUAUGUAAAGAGCUGUGAUUUUGAAAUUUUUAUUAAAGUUUGAUUGCUGUGAAUUUAGUGCUGUAUAAAUAAAUGGGGUUGUGAAUAGAACGAAAAGCCUAUAGGCCUAUCAAAGAAUAAAUGAUUAAAUAAAAUCUUAUUUUUUUCUAAAAUUAAAUGGAUUCAAUUGUUUUUGUGCGAAAAAUCUUACUAUAUGAAAAAUAUGUUAGACUUCAAAAUAUAUAUAAAUCUUCAUAGAAUGAAGACAUAAUUUUCUUUAUCUAAUUGAACUUUUAUAUAACAUACCACCAACAGACAGUUAAUUAUUAAUUAAUUAGGAAAGACAUAGCCAACAUGCAGUAAAUUAUAAAAAAAAAAAAAAACUAUGGUGAGUGAUGGGAGGAAUAGUCCAUGUAUAAAUUCUUAAAUGGUUUCUAUUAUGAAGUGGUUAAAUGGUCAAGCUAUUGAAAAUAUAUAACUUUUUAUUAUGAAAAGUUUCAAUAGUUAAGUUUAUGAAACAACACAACUUUUUAAGCAUAGAACAUGUCUUUUGUUUAAGUGAAUUUAUGAUUUUGGACUCAUGAUAUUAAAUGAAACAAUAUCCGUUAGACUAAUGAUUAGACGCUGUCAUGGCAGCGUCAGCGUCUGCGAAACGAACAACAACUGUCCUCAUUGACGCUGCCGCUGCCGCUGACGCAGACGCUGCCGCCGCCGCCGAAACCUGCGGCAACCAAACGAACAGGGCUAUAAACUUCAUCGUUAUCUAUACUAUACUAAAAGCAAUAUAUCCUCAAAGGAGAGGGAUGCCACCUCAGAUUAAAAAAUUAGCCAAUAAAAAUAAAUUAUAGUGCCACAUCAUCAUUAUAUUCUCUGUCUCGCGAAUAUCAUCUACGUUUCCUCUUCCUUUUUUUCCCAAUAAAGAUGGUCUUCCUGUUCAUCUUCCUUUCUCUCAGCGUACAAUUUUUUACUCCCACAAACUCUUUGUCUGCCUUUCUUUACAAUCCAAGCUUUAUUCGAUUUGAAACCAAAAGGAUAACUCAAACCCUAUAAAUAAGAGAAGUUUGCGAUUCCAAUCCCCCUACACCGACACCUUCUAAUCUUUCAUCUACUUGCCAAAAGCCAGACGCCUCCUUCAAGAAUGUAUUCCUCUGACGUUGUUGUUGCCCAAUCAGAUAUCACUCAACCUUUGAUGCUCUCCGAUUUGGUAGGACUUCCCAAUACAUUGUUGGUCGUCUCCUCCUUUUCUGUGGUUCGCUGGGAUUCGCGCAACAUAAAAAAAAAGGGGUUACGGGAAUCAUCCUCCUUUUCCUUGAUGAAAAGGUAUGGUCUUUUCACAAUGUAAAGCAUGAUUUAUUCUAUCUUAGUUUUUAAAUUAAAAAAAAUCUACACUGCGCAUGAUAUAAAGCUUGGAUUGUAAAGAGAUGUUGAAAAACAAAUGUUGACUUCUUCUAUUGAUUGCAUACGCAGAAUUAGGUGAUUCAAAGAUUCAUCCCAUCUGCUCGCGCCGAUCACUACCGUCCAUCUUUAGUGGACGGUUCCAUUAUAAAACUUGAUAGGUAUGAAGUUGCAAGAUGCACAAAUAUGUACAAUAUUACGUUUCAUCUCUCAAACACGUAUUGAUGAACGCCUAACCGCUACUCAUGUGAUUAACCUUCAGGAAUUUAUGCUUCAGAAAUUCCUGCCAUGAGAGAGUUCACAGCCAGCUUGGGAGGUGCAGCAGGAGAGAUCGGAACACUUUCAUCUCCAACUCUAAUCAGCAGGUAGCGCUCAGGCUUACACUAUAGUUUAAUUGUCCUUUGUCACUUGAAAAUAGCAUUUGCUAUCGUAACUGUAUUGACUUUGUGAAGACGCGAGAAGCUGAUUUCAUUUGCAAAGCGCCGAUUGUUGAGGUCCUCCACCAGAAUGGCAGGCCGUUCGUUGCUUGCAUCGGGUGCAACAGAAGUUGGACAAAUGUGGCACUUCUCUUCGUUGCAACAAAUGCGUUUCUCCCAACGUUACCGGUGUUACCCAGGCAUGCAAUUUACAUUCUCACACACAGUUUAGAUAACACUGAGUUUUAAAAGGAUGUUUAUUUUUCCAAACCUUUUUGCAGAGGUACCGUGUCGAGCUAUCAGUUGAUGACGGCAACGAUAAUGCUAUGUUUGUGGUCUUCGACAUGGAGAAAACUAAGCUCGCUAAGAGAGAUGCUGCUGAUCUGGGUGGGUCAUGAGCUGUAUGUUUUUCUCUUUCACCUACACGCUACAUUUGUCUAUAUUUACAAUUGUUACAGUCACCCUGAAUGCCUCUAAACCCUGAAACAAACUACAGAUGAAUGGCGUUGGAGGGCAGGAACUACCGACAUGUCUUGAAGAGCUUGCUAGAAAGGAAUAAUACGUGUCACUUCAUACAUUUUCACAUCAAACCAUCGUACCUUCUUCACCGUCUCUACAAUAAGAGAAAAUAGCUUCUUUGACAACCAAACCAAAACGUUUUCUUCUUGCUAAUUUGAAAUAACACAUUUACAACUAUCUCAGAGAGUAGCAGCAACAACCAAGCCCCAGUUGUUGAAGGGGAAGGUGGAGAAACAGCUGCAUCUGCCAGCAACACUGCUGCAGCAGGAGACGAUGAACCAAAUCCUCCCGGUUUUGAAGCGAUAGAGAAUAGUCGCAAACGCACGCGUGAGUGAUAGUUCCAAGCCCGUCCUGCUGUCAACCCCACUUAGCUUUCGUCUGUUUCGAAUUUCCUAACUUGCUAUGAUUUGAAUCGAUUAUAUAUGAUUUUCAACUUUGAUUUUUCUCUUAAAUUUCUGGCUAAGUCUCUCCCACAAAGAGGACAAUUACUAAUUUUUUAUAUUAAAAAGGCAGUGUUGAGUCUGUUGACAGCAUUUUGCAUAUCGAUAAUGUCCACAACUAAAUACAUCACUACAUGUUUACAUAGACUUUCGUAAAGAAACGUAACUCAGAAAAAAAUGCAUAAAUGUCAGCUCUGUAUCCAUGCAUAUAGGUUGAGAGCAUAAAGCUCUUGAUUUUGUUUUUCUUUCUCUUUGAAAAGGAAUUUGCGAUGAUAAGAUGAAAAUAAAUGCAAACAAACUAGAUAGCCAUAGUAGGCUACAGUUAAAACAACAUUUUUAACACCAUAAUAAGAAUAUAUACACAUACCUACGUAAGUCCAAUAAACAAACAAAUCACAAAACAAUCCAUCCAUAUAUCAACAAACACUUACAAAACCUGACAGAUGCAUUUCGAAUAUCCGAAUGUAUCCAAAAUAGAUUUAUAUACCUACAUAUAUUACUUAUUUUUAGAUUUAAUGUCCAAAUAUAUAAGAUAAUUUUAAGUUGUCCAAAAUAUUUGAAAAUAUAUAAAUAGUCAAAAUUAAAUAUCUAAAAUAGCUAAAAUAUAUUCAAAACACCAAAAUUCUUGAAAUGUCUAUUGAUUUCUUAUUCAAAUAUUCAAAUCAAGCCAAUUUAUAUGUUAAUUUUUAGGUAUUUUGACAUAUGUUAUUCAAUUUUAUAUGUAAUAUAUUAAUUUAUUUAUAGAUUUUGAGAAGAUUUAAGCAUAUAAUAAAUUUUAAAAAUUAAAAAAUAAUUUAAAUUUGUUAUCCGAACCCGCAAAGAUCCGAACCGGAACCGAAACUGAACCAAAAUUUAGAAAUAUCCAAAUGGGGAUGAAAUCUUCGAAUUCAAAAACCAAAACUCGAAUAGACCCGAACCGAACUCGAAUGGGUACCCGACCGUUCAUCCCUAACUCGGCUAAUCCACUUUGCAAUCUCAAAAGGAAUUGCCAAACAUGAGUCACUCUUUUAUAGAUAGAAAUAUAUUCAAAACACCAAAAUUCUUGAAAUAUCUAUUGAUUUCUUAUUCAAAUAUUCAAAUUAAGCCAAUUUAUAUGUUAAUUUUUAGGUAUUUUGACAUAUGUUAUUCAACUUUAUAUGCAAUAUUUUAAUUUAUUUAUAGAUUUUGAGAAGAUUUAAGCAUAUAAUAAAUUUUAAAAAUUAAAAAAUAAUUUAAAUUUGUUAUCCGAACUCUAACCCGAACCGAGCCCACAAAGAUCUGAACCGGAACCGAACCCGAACCAAAAUUUAGAAAUAUCCAAAUGGGGAUGAAAUCUUUGAAUUCAAAAAUCCAAAACUCGAAUAGACCCGAACCGAACUCGAAUGGGUACCCGACCGUUCAUCCCUAACUCGGCGAAUCCACUUCGCAAUCUCAAAAGGAAUUCCCAAACAUGAGUCACUCUUUUAUAGAUAGAAACAACACAACACCAACGUUUAAAUUUGCUCUACUUUAUAAUAUUUUUUUUGGUUUGGUCUUAAACAUGACUAAUUAAUUUGGACUUAUCGCUUGAAUGGUUUAGGAAAGCAGUUCUGUUUUCUUAUCUUACAUAAAUUGAAAAUAUGAAUUCAAUAUCACAACAAAAUCAAGCUCUAAUCAGACACACAACAUAAUACAUCUGUGUAUUUUAGUCCAUCUCACAGUCUUAUACUAAAUGGUCGCCUCAAUCAUAAUGUCAUUUCCGGCAAAGAUUAUGAAGACAAUCGGCUUGAAUUUAACGCCAUGGUAUUGGAAUCAACAUAUAAUCUUUAAAACUCAGCAAUAAAUACCAAAAACUAAAAGUACUGGUAGAGCUAGACCUAGGCACGGUCUGAACAUCAUAGACGAGGCUGAAAUGAAAAAGAUAACAAAUGAAAUAAAAAAUGAAAAAGUGGGAAAAGACAUUCAAAACAAAGAUUAUGGCCAAAAUACGAAAAGAAUAAAUAAGAUGAACCAAAAGCUAGAUAACAAAACAUUUUAAAUUGAUUCAAAUAAAAAUUUAGACGACAAUUUACGACAACAACAAAAUAAUAAAACCAGUAUCUAUAUACUCCCCAAAGUUAACCCGAAUAAUUGAUUUCACUAAAAUCAGUAAAAGAUAAGCACCUAAGUAUUAAUCAUUGUGUAUCGAUCAUUCCCACAAAACAAUUACAUAUAAUAACCACAAAUAAACGUUAAUAUACAAGUCAAACAUAAAAUAACGAUAUGUAUCCACAAAAUACUGAACCAGAAACACAUAAAGCAAGCAGUCGAAAGGGCGAGAUUGAAAAAUAUUCUUAUGUGAUACAUGAGAAAUAAAUAUACAAAGAAACAAUAAACCGACUGGUUAGAAGUGUUAAUCAAAAAAUAUAUAAAUGUACUUUCACAACAAAUGAAAUCCUACUAUCAAUUAUAAUAUUAAUCACAUUUAAAAACAAGAAAUAAAAAUUAAUAUUCACUUUUAUACCAGGAGCAAAAUUCUAAUCUGAUAAAGCAAAUGUUGUAUCCGGUGGUUUGGGAGAAUUUGAACUUCACAAGUCUAACUAUUACUCCCUCUGUUUUAUAGUAGAUGAAGUUUUGGUCAUUUGCACACAUAUUAAGAAAUUAUUUUUUCUAAACAAGAAAUCAUUGAAAUAUAAUUUAAAAUUAAUUUACUUAAUUAUAAACAAAAAAAAUAAAAACACAAUUGGCUACACAUUUUUUGAUUAAUUUAAAGUUACAUAGAUAUGUUAAACUAUCAUCUAUUGUGAAACAAAAACAAUCAUCUAAAACAUUACCUAUAUUGAAACGAAGGGAGUAUAUUUAAAAUGAUACAUAAUUGUAAAUGGGCAUCAACUUCAGAAGAAAAUAAAAUGUGACAUUUAUUGAAUUCAAAAAUGCAUUUUCUUAUAUAAAUACAUAUGUUAUAGUAUUCCUGCAACCAGAAAUGUAAUAUUAUUAAAAUAAAAAAUAAAAUUCGUUGUUAUAAUAUCUCCUCUUAAAUAAAUAAGUAUAUGUUCUUUAUUCACCGAAACAUAAACAUUUAAAAUGAAAAAUAUAAAUGAAUAUAUGACACAUGAGAGUAAAAAGAUUACAAGACAUAAUACAUUACAAACCAAUAUUACAACAAAGACAAACACAAAAACCCAAUUUACUUUACUACAUAUUUUAAAACUAAUCGAAAACAGUGAAUAAAAAUUAGUAUUUACCGCAAGAGGGGGUGUGGCAAGUACCCGCACUCUAAUUUGCUUUUUUCCAUUAUAGUUAGCGCUAAAUUUAAAUAAAUAUACUUAAACCUAACAUAAAAUAAAAUAUUAAAUACAUAUAUCAACAUGAUCAUAUUUUCAUAACAGACAUUUUUCCUUGAGGCUAAUGAUAGUGUAUAAAGCUUCAUUUCAAUGGCAUGAACUCAACUCGCAGAUUCUCCACUUUCUCCACACUCACUUUGUGAAUGAUUCCUUCAAUCUUACCUUCUCUAUUUCUACAACAAUUUCAAAUGGUGUUAAGUUUUUUUUUUGUAACUCCUGAGUGAGUUUAUAGCGUACGAUGAUAGAUUACUACGGAUUAAAUGGAUAGAGAACUCAUGUAUCAACAAUACACAAAUCAUGAAAUAAUCCAUGCAUUGUCUCUUUAGUGUUGUGUAUUGUCAUAUUCGUGCCAUCAAGCAUCAGCCAUUGGCGUCUCUAAUGCUUGGGUAUGAGUGAAGGCAAUAUAUCUUAGUUAACUUUAUUCAUUUGCAUUUUCAUUCACCAUCAUGUAUCCCACAUGUAGUUUUAGAUAUUAAAAAUACAAAAAUUAAGUUUUAAUCCUAUCAAAUCCAAUUUAUAAUUUUGUAAAUUGACCACAAUAUAUAUUAUAUGCAUUACUAUGUUAAAUACAAAUAUAUUUGUCCAGACCCGGGCGUAGCCCGGGAAAAUCCCUAGUAUUUAGAAAGAUGAUUGAAUGUGAGAAGCCCUAUACGAAAAAUAAAUUAAGAAAUUAGUUUGUUGGGGAGAAAGAAAAAUAAAAAAAAAUGCGACGGCUUGAGAGUAGUGCCGUGCGAGUACUUUAGGAGGUCUAAGGCAAAAAAAAAAACUAAAAGCAUUUAUUCUACAUACAUAAACUUUUUAAAAUAAAACAUAUCAAAAUCAUAUAAGACCAUCGUUGAGGAAACAACUGUAGAUACUAUGACUGAGGUUCGAACUUCCGUUGACACCCUCCUACGAAGACUCUUUAACCACUAUACUAUAAAUGAAUUACUGAGAGAAGUGGCCAUAAAACAUAUAUUAUUUGGAGGCCUAAAACAAAUGUCUUUUUCACUACAACAUAGCCAUGAAUGUGCUUGAGAAUAUAAAUGUAGAGAAGUAGUAGAUAGAUUCAAUAGAAAUAAGAACAAUGAUAGAGAUUUAACCACAAGGUGGUGGUCUAGUGGUAGACGAGCUUUGGGAUUGCUAAGCAACCCAGGUUCGAAGGCACCCCACUACAUCUUACCUUGUGGCCACAUGGAUAUGGGCCUAUCUUACGGCCCAUUUGAAUAUCCGGAAUGAGGGUCCAUCCGUGGGCUGCACCACCCCUUUGGGGAUUAGUCUGGGCUCGUUCAUGGGUCUGGGAUACCCCCAAGGUUAAAAAAAAAAAAAAAAAAA